CUGCGCGUUGAAGUCGAUUAAAGCAUUUUAAAUAUUAAAGUUAAAUCUAGGUAUAGUGCAAUUUCUCCGUUAGCGUGCGUUCUGUAUUCGAAUGGUAGACUUAAAAUAAUUGCCUUUAAAAUAUUUCAACUUUAAUGGUGGAAAAUUCAAUUUGAAUGUGUUGCGUCCUGGCACGACCGAUUAAAGCUAAAGACGGAAUUUUAAGCCUAUUUGGUUGAGUAAGAUUAACGGAUUAAAGGACUCGUCGACUAUAAGGACUUCCACAACUUGUGGACUUGUCAGAUUCAGCUAAAUCUGUAGCUUUCAAGGAAAAAAACAAAUCAAUAUUGUUGGUACCUAGUUGACCCACAUAUCCUUGGUUAUUCCAUACAAUGGAUAUAGUCCUAGUGAACCUAGAGGACCGAAUUUUAGCAAAUGCCCAAGAAUAUGGUCCAAAAAUAUGUAUGCUUUUUCAGCCUGGUUUCAGCCUUGGUUCCUAGUUGACUGUCAUAUCCUUGGUUCUACCAUACCAUCGAUAUAGCCCUUGGCAACCUACAACAAAUCCCUGCGAAAUUUGCAUUGAAAUGAUCCAAAAGCAUUUAUUUUUCUUUCAGCAGCGCCUGUAAAUAACCAGCAGCUGCAGCUGCUAAUUAACAGCCGAUCUUACAGCACUCGUUUUACAUUAACUGCUGUUUAACAUAACUCAUUUUAAAUGAGUUACAUUUUUGCCCUUACGCGUAUGCAACACAAAUUUUUAUUCGAAAAUAUUCGGCGACCUUCUGAGCAUUUCUGUUCGCCUGGUACUUCAGCAAAUUUGGGGACCCAGCCGCCGACGAGGGCGCCCCUUUCGGGUAUGCAACAGAAAAUUUUUGGACGCUGAAAAAUUUUGUCGACCUUCUAGACAAUUCUGUUUGCCUGGUAUUUCAGCAGAAUUUCAGAAGCCGGCGCCUUUAACGGACAGAUUUUUAACGACAGUUGAUUUUUGAAUUUUUUGCAAUCCCAUAUCCUUU